GCCAGGAUGGCGUAGUGGUUAGCGCAUCUGCCUAGUAAAUAGGACACCUGGGUUCGAUUCCCGGCUUUGGCA